rnacentral:piRNA from 1 species
AGAGACAGAUGGACAGAGAGAGGGA